AUGAGAUUGGUAGGGCUGGCGGCCAUCGAGAGAGCCAGAAAAAGGCAAGCCUCCCGGGUUCUCUGGCUGCGAGCGGGAGAUGCCAGCACCAAGUUCUUUCAUGCCAAGUUCUGCUCAAGAAGGCGCAAAAACUUCAUUCACUCCAUCCAGAGUGACGACAGAAUUGCAAUAACGCAUGCAGACAAGGCCCAAGUCAUCCAGGAUCAUUUUAGCAAGGCAAUGGUAGCUAGCACGGGCCGGAGUGUCACGUUAAACUGGGGUGUGCUGCGGCUGCCAAGGGUCCAAGCCGCUGGUUUGGACAACCCCUUCACCGAAGAUGAAGUUUGGGCAGCAAUUUUGCAGUCGCCGACAGAAAAAGCUCCGGGGCCUGACGGUUUCAUUGGCAGAUUCUUCAGAGCCUGCUGGCCGAUCAUCAAGGAUGACAUUAUGGCGGCGUUCCCCCGCUUCUACAGCCUCGCGGGGGGAAAUUUAGCUGCGCUGAACACGGCGUUUGUGGCGCUGCUUCCAAAGAAAGAGGGUGCCGCGAGAAUAAAUGACUUUCGGCCGAUCAGUUUGAUACAUUCUUUUGCCAAGUUGGUGACCAAGGUUCUGUCAAUCAGACUGACAAAAGUGAUCCACACAAUUGUUUCACCAGCGCAAUCUGCAUUCAUGAAGAAGAAGUGCAUCCAGGAUAGUUUUCUGUACGUGCAAAAUGGAGUACGAGCGUUGUACAGAAGCAGAACACCGUCGCUGCUGUUGAAGCUGGAUAUAUCGAAGGCUUUUGAUAGUGUUUCCUGA
rnacentral:rRNA from 1 species